rnacentral:rRNA from 1 species
CCUACGGGGGGCAGCAGUGAGGAAUAUUGGUCAAUGGACGAGAGUCUGAACCAGCCAAGUAGCGUGAAGGAUGACUGCCCUAUGGGUUGUAAACUUCUUUUAUAUGGGAAUAAAACGUUCCACGUGUGGGAUUUUGUAUGUACCAUAUGAAUAAGGAUCGGCUAACUCCGUUCCAGCAGCCGCGGUAAUACGGAGGAUCCGAGCGUUAUCCGGAUUUAUUGGGUUUAAGGGGAGAGUAGGUGGAUUGUUAAGUCAGUUGUGAAAGUUUGCGGCUCAACCGUAAAAUUGCAGUUGAAACUGGCAGUCUUGAGUACAGUAGAGGUGGGCGGAAUUCGUGGUGUAGCGGUGAAAUGCUUAGAUAUCACGAAGAACUCCGAUUGCGAAGGCAGUUCACUGGACUGCAACUGACACUGAGGCUCGAAAGUGUGGGUAUCAAACAGGAUUAGAUACCCUAGUAGUC